GUGUUUACCUGGCAGGGCAGCCCCAUGAUGAUGAAGGUCGUUUCCCCAGGGUAAGGCUCAUCCGAUGCACUCUGGAUGCGCUGCCCACUGUGGUUUCCCCUCAGUGUGGGAAACUUGACCGUGUAAUCUGCGGUAAUGGGGGAAUGUGUUUGUGCUCUCCCGUG
ensembl:snRNA U1 U1 spliceosomal RNA